CCCGGCGCUGAAGCGCCGGGCUAUUUCUCAAACGCCCCUCCGGGGCU
rnacentral:sRNA from 1 species